ACUGCCAUAGAGUACCUGAAUUCCUUGUAGCGAUAGAAGGAAUCCAAAGCCCAGCCCUGAUUCUUGUCAGAAGCCAUAACCGAAACCGAGACCAAACAGAAGGCGAAUCCACAUAUUCUUAACCCUAGCAAGAUCUUCUUCCUCAAUUCCUCCCUCUUUAUUUUCUUCAUCGACAAAUUCGCCAUCAGCUUCCGUCCUCGCCCAACCUUACCGCCAUCGCGACUCUCUACAUCGCCAUCGCCGUCGCCAUCACUAUCA
rnacentral:misc_RNA from 1 species